UGUUCACCUGUGUCUUGUCAGUGAUAUUUGUAUUUAAGUCUUGUCUCUGCCUUCCUCUUGUGCUGGUCCAUUACCGUCUCUUCCCUGUCCAUCUUCCCACAGUAAGCCCACUGUUAGUUUGGGUUUUGUUACCCUGCUCUGCAGCACUAAGUUAAUAAACCCCUUGCCCUGGAACCGUGUGCCUCCCGUCUCUGCAUUGCGGGUCUUUCAUGGUCACCAGCCCUCCCUACCUGACACAUAUGGCUUUGAACGAUAUGCAACACAUCACCAACGCAACACAGAAUCACAGAAUGAGCUGAUUUACAUUACCACUGUAAAGUGUUGUAUAUCAGCACAAGUGUUAUGGUGCCGCCAGGGUUCCCCUCCUCCCCCUUCUCUGCAGAUUGGAUCCAGCUGUCGGCAUUCUCCUCAUCACACGCACCUGUAUUUAAGAUGGCUCCGGUUCACUACUCAUCGCCAGCUCGUUGCCCUCUAUGGGAUCACGCUACCUCUGGUGCCGACCUGGAUCUAAUCAUUAGAUCCUCUGCCUCAAGUCCUCAAGAUUCCAAGCCACGAUCUCACUCAGACUUCUUCCAGCAACCACGUCAAGCCUGUUCGCCCAACACCGCGACUCGUAAGCCACAUCACCCCCGAAGAAGGAUCCUCCGAAGAAACUCACCUCUCUCUAUGCCUUACGCCUCCGGUGACGGCUCCUCAGCCAGCCUCUCGACUGAUCCAUAGACUCUGAAUUAAAUCCCUUAACUCCUCUUCCAGUGUUUGUCUUUCCGGGUUUCAGCACUUGGGUCUGUUCGCAUCCUAGCCAAGCAUGACAACAAGGCUGUUUUAUUACGUUGACUCCAUAAAAGGUUCCAGAGUUACUGUAGUUAUGGUGAACUAAAAUAGUAUUUCUGUUUUCAAACUUGAUUCCAUUUAUUACUAGGUCAAAAAUGCUGGUUUCAGGCCCCCCCCUGACCUUUUUGCUUUUGACUAACAGAUUAGAAUAAAAAUUUGUUGAUCCCUAGCAGGAAAGUCCAACUGCCCAGUGGCUUAAGCAAUAAAAGAUAAAUAAAUAAGUUGAUAUAAUUGUUUGAAUAAAGCGCAGUUGAAUACUAAAUGUGUUCAGUCAAUCCGAAUCCGGAGCCGUCCGAUUCUGCUGAUCAGCAGCGAGUUUUCAUAGCUGGAAAACAAGCAGUGGUAAGUCUCAAGACCUGCGGUUAGGCAGCCCUGAUGUGGGCAAAUAAAACAAGAUGAUUAUGGGUUUGGGAACCAUUCUCCUUUAAAAUCUCCUAAAUGUACAGCGUGUUUAACAAAAUCACCUUCUAAAAACUUAUUGUUCGUUUUACUAUGACACUGUUCUGGUGCCCCCUUUGUCCUCAUCUUUACCUUUUUUUCUGUCCCUAAACUGUCCCAGUUUCCAGCACUUAACCUCUUAUGACAAACCACAAAAGUGUUUCCUCCCUCAUAAAAACUGCAGAAAGGGAUAAGGCAGGAGGACUUCUGCUGUGGCGUCUCCCCUGGGACUAUGGCCGGCAACCAGACUGCUGUGGUCAAAGCCAGGGCAUAACAGACGACAAGGGAGACAAGCAAUCCAGACAGAGGGGGGAAGAAACACUUGGGACAAAGCCCCGUACAGUACCCCUCUGAACUCUCAGUUAAACUUUUAAACUUUAAUGUUUAGGUUAAUCAGUCUCCGAAAAAAGAGAAGAAAAAAAAA